UACCCCACCCAUUCCCACCACCUAUCUCACAAUUCUCCCUUAUCUCUUUGACUGGCUCCUCUCUUCUCAUUUUUUUUCUUUUUCUUCUUUUUCAUUUCCCGUCUAACACUUCUCUUCGCUCCCUCAAACUCUCCCGGCAAUACCUCCAUACCACCAUUUCCACCAUCACUUUCCGGUAAGAUCACCAGAAAAUUCUUGAGAACCCACAAGCACCUUCACAUCCUUUUUUUGAGGUUUGCUUGAUAUUGUUGAGGUUCUAGCUAAUCUCCUUUGGAGUUUGGAAAAUUAGGCUUUUUGCGGGUUGCAAGAAUGAAGUUGAAAACCUUGAGGGUAUGGGUGAGGCUGCUGUCCAUGGGGCCAACAGUCUGCAUACCAAAGAUGACAAUAUCAUGUCAGUUGUGAAUGGGUGGAUCCCUUGACCAGUCUAUGUGGUAAUGUGGUAUAUUUGUGAUAAUUUAUCUUAUGUUAGAUAUUAUGACUUUGGAAAUUAUAUUGUUGAUGCUCACAGAUUA